AUCCUCCAGAGGCCAAUUUCCAUUAAUUUGGUUCUUUGUGAUCCUCAGGACUGACCCUGAUAACUCCUACAACCCCACCUGCAGCAGAAGGAGCCAGGGGAGCCCUCCAGUUGUAUUUCUUCACUGUCAUGGCUCUUCAGCACUCAAGGACAGUAAUUGAAUGUGAAAAUUCCAUCUGUUCCUGCAGCAUCCAGGCAGCGUCUCCUCCCAGCCAGAUCAGGGUCUACUGUUUGCACAAACGGAUUGGAGCUGCAGUGGCAGCAGCCAGUCAUGUGUGGUGUUUGAGAGAGGAGAGGAGAGAGAGAAAAAGGCCUUCUCCUGCACAGUUCCCUCAGUUUUCCAUCCUUGAUGUACUGUGGACAUGCCAGUCCCCUAUUCAGCUGGAGGAGGUGUCCUUGGGUUGGCUUCUGUGAGAAAGCCAGGUUAAAAAUGAGCCAUGUGAAGAGGAUUAGAGUGGACUCAAACACCUCCUGGUUUUAAUAUAUCAAAGCCCUGACAGAGUAUAUAUCUGUUGCUCCAGCUGAGCUGGGGAGGUGCAGCCCAGAGGCAGACUGUGUGGGGGAAAUUUCAAACCAAUGGGUAUCUAAUCAUAUAUAUUUAUGUCCCCUCACUCCCUUGUCUGUGCUGCAUGUUUAUUGAUGUAGUGCCAGAGGAGUGCAGAGCCUUGCUGAUCUAUGCUCUUGUCUAAGGCUGUCAGCCAAACCUCCCAGGGGAGCAUUGGCCAGUGGCUGAGGAGGGACAUUUGCUGCUCCUGCUCCAUCCUGCAGCCAUCCACACCACCUAAAAACACCUGGCAGUGCGAAGCAUAGAUCUUCACAGCGACUCAGGCACGUGGGGAAAGCGCUGCUGUUCUCCAGAAAUAUUUCCAGGUGAGGUAACAGGGCUGUGCUCAAAGCAGGGCCCUUCCAGGAGCACGGCAGGACUUGCUGGGUGUUUCCUUUGCCAGGCAGCCUGGAUGUGAAGACCUCUGUGGGGGAUCCCUGUGACUCUGCUGCAGGGACAUUUUGGUUGGACAAGUUUAGGUAUGUAAUGCUAA
rnacentral:lncRNA from 1 species